GACGAACGCUGGCGGCGUGCUUAACACAUGCAAGUCGAACGGAAAGGCCCUGCUUUUGUGGGGUGCUCGAGUGGCGAACGGGUGAGUAACACGUGAGUAACCUGCCCUUGACUUUGGGGUAACUUCAGGAAACUGGGGCUAAUACCGGAUAGGAGCUCCUGCUGCAUGGUGGUGGUUGGAAAGUUUCGGCGGUUGGGGAUGGUCUCGCGGCUUAUCAGCUGGUUGGUGGGGUAGUGGCUUCCCACGGCUUUGAAGGGUAGCCGGCCUGAGAGGGGGACCGGGCACAUGGGGACUGAGAUACGGCCCAGAGUCGUACGGGAGGCAGCAGUGGGGAAGAUAGCACAAUGGGCCGACGCCUGAUGCAUCAACGCCGCGUGCGGGAUGAAAGCCUUUGGGUUGUAAACAGAUUUGUAGUGAGACGAAGCGUGAGUGACGGUAACGGAUAAAAAAGCAACGGCUAACUACGUG
rnacentral:rRNA from 1 species